AUUGAACGCUGGCGGCAGGCCUAACACAUGCAAGUCGAGCGAGCGGCGGACGGGUGAGUAAUGUAUGGGAAACUGCCUGAUGGAGGGGGAUAACUACUGGAAACGGUAGCUAAUACCGCAUACCAUCAGAUGUGCCCAGAUGGGAUUAGCUAGUAGGUGGGGUAAUGGAUCACCUAGGCGACGAUCCCUCGCUGGUCUGAGAGGAUGAUCAGCAACACUGGAACUGAGACACGGUCAAGACUCCUACGGGAGGCAGCAGUGGGGAAUAUUGCACAAUGGGCGCAAGCCUGAUACAGCCAUGCCGGGUGUAUGAAGAAGGCCUUAGGGUUGUAAAGCACUUUCAGCCGGGAGGCGUUACCCGCAGAAGAAGCACCGGCUAACUCCGUGCCAGCAGCCGCGGUAAUAC
rnacentral:rRNA from 1 species